UUAACACAGCUAACACUGCGGAUUUGUGCAAACAGAAUAAAAGAUUAAGCUGAUCAUCUUUCCAUAUAUUUCUCUGUGUGUGCCCUAUCAAGGAUGGAUUUUCUGGGGGAAGGAGAAAUGUGGAGGUCAUAUAGAACAACCUCAUAGUGCUACGCAGAAGAGGGUGACAUUCAGCAGUGUGUGGUGUUUCCUGUGGAAGAACAGAAUUAGAGCUGGGGGCUGAGGAAAACUUUUCCUUUGGACUUGAGCUGGUAACAGGGAGUAAGUGUCCUUUUGCUCUUUGUUUUACUCUUCAUUUCACCUGACAAGGUCAAUUUUUUUAAGGGAAAAGGAAACUGCAUUACUGAAUAUAAAAUUUGUAAUAGGAUAAAAAAAAAUAUCCCUUAUUAUCUGAAUGAGUUAACAAUUCCUAAUGUUCUAUGGCAUAUCAUGAGUGUCAUCGCCAUUCUAACUCUGUGUUGUUAUUCUGAAUAAAAGAACCUGUACA